rnacentral:sRNA from 1 species
CACGAUUCCAUGCACGUGGAAAUGAUCUUGAUCUUCCUCUGCGUUCUGGUCAUUGCCCAGAUAGUGCUGGUUCAGUGGAGACAGAGGCAUGGCCGAUCCUACAAUCAAGAUGGCCCUUACCAGAUGCUAGCCAUUCAAUCUUGGACUUCUGAGCCUCCAGAACUCUGGUGACCUUGUUGCAGAUGUGGGUUGUCCCCUUAUAUUUCACGAUAAAAUUAUACUGGUGGCGGUUUCUGUCUAUGUGGGGGAUGUUCUCCGUUAUUACCAGUUACAUCCUCUUCAGAGCUACCCGAAAACCUCUCUCAGGAAAGACACCACGAUUGGUCUACAAAUGGUUUCUUUUGAUCUACAAACUCAGCUAUGCAUUUGGUGUUGUGGGUUACUUGGUGAUCAUGUUUACAAUGUGUGGAUUCAAUCUGUUUUUCAAAAUCAAAGCUAGAGAUUCCAUGGAUUUUGGCAUUG